CGCAUAGAAGUUUCUAUGCGCUCGUUCGGAAACUGGCCUUGUCCGAGUGAAGGAAGGCGAGGAGGAACUCGACGAAUAAACCCUAUUCCCCGCUUCCCCUCUCUGCCUCUGUUGCUGCUGUUGAAGUCUCCUAUGCUCUUCUCUUGGGUCUCCAAGUCCAGGCCUCUCCUUUCCCUCUCCAGCCUCGAAAACAAACUGCUUAUCGACCAUGGUUAUCUACUUAAAUGGACAUCUUCUCUAUUUCCAAGUUACGCAUCAUAUAAACAAGAUGAAUUGGGAAGGAAAAGUGUCAGGUCUGAAGGAGUAUCUGGUCGCUUUCAGAAUAUUCUUUCUAAUGGAUAUAUUCCCUGCAAAUAUUUCUAUGCACAAAGUUCUUCGGGCACCUAUGCGCAAUCUAGAUCAUGUUAUACGAAUUCAUUCUCACAAAUUGAGAGCAAUUCACUUCUUAAUGCUGAUCGCGCAGCAUCUGACAAUGAUUCGAUCACUAAAUAUGCUGCCACGAUACAAGAAAUUCUGAAGUCCCAUGAAAGCACAAGUGAGCUAGAGUCAGCCCUCAAUCGGUUUGUGCCUUCACUCGGUGAGGACUUAGUUGUGCAGGUCCUUCGGAGGCAUCGGUCCGAUUGGAAGCUUGCAUUAUCUUUUUUUAAUUGGGCAUCCACCCAACAAGGUUAUGCUUAUGGAUCAAGGGCUUUGAAUGAGAUGCUUGAUAUUCUUGGUAGGAUGAAACAGAUCAAGCUAAUGAGGCAAAUGUUCGAUGAAAUUCCCAAAGAGAGAGGCACGUCCAUCAUCAAUGAGAAAACUUUUUCAAUUCUGCUAAAUAGAUAUGCAGGUGCUCAUAAGGUACAAGAAGCUAUCGAUAUGUUUUAUAAGAGGAAAGAUUAUGGCUUUGAGCUUGACAUGGUUGCUUUCCAGACUCUUUUGAUGUCUCUCUGCAGAUACAAACAUGUUGAAGAGGCUGAAGCUCUCUUUCUUAAGAAGCAAAAUGAGUUCCCUCCUGUUAUAAGGAGCAGAAACAUUAUUCUUAAUGGCUGGUGUGUGUUGGGAAGCUUACGUGAUGCUAAAAGGUUUUGGAAUGACAUAAUCUCUUCCAAGUGCCAACCGGAUGUGGUCACAUAUGGUAUUUUCAUUAAUUCCUUGGCCAAGGCUGGGAAGCUAGGUUCUGCAGUGAAACUGUUCACUUCUAUGCAGGAGAAAGGGUCUCAGCCAGAUGUGACGAUCUGUAAUUGCAUUAUUGAUGCAUUGUGCUUUAAGAAGAGAAUUCCGGAAGCCCUUGAAAUUUUUGGUGAAAUGGGCGAGCCUGGUUGCCUUCCAGAUGUAGCAACCUAUAACUCUCUCAUAAAGCACCUUUGUAAGAUAAGGAGGAUGGAAAAAGUAUAUGAACUUUUGGACGAGAUGGAACAAAAGGGUUGCCUCCCAAAUACCAGAACUUACUCUUAUAUCUUAAAAAUGACUAAGAAACCAGAAGAGGUUACCGAUUUAUUGUAUAGAAUGGAAAGAACUGGUUGCAAAAUUGAUGGUGACACCUACAAUUUGAUAUUAAACCUGUAUGUGCAGUGGAAAUAUCAAAGUGGCAUUCGGUAUUUAUGGGCUGAGAUGGAGAGAAGUGGAUUAGGUCCUGAUCAGCGGUCUUACACCAUUAUGAUUCACGGACUUCACAGACAAGGGAAGUUAGAUGAGGCUCUGCAGUUCUAUAGCAAGAUGAGGUCAAAAGGAAUGAUUCCAGAACCAAGGACAAGGAUACUAAUAAAAGCGAUAUUUUUGAAAAGAGAGAAGGGGAGUGAUACAUCACAUGACUCUUCCAGUACAGUAUAGAAGAGGAAGGGGAAUUCUCAAAUUGAUACUUAACCAAGAUUCAUUCAGCUAGAAAAAUAGAGUCAAAGAUUACGUUGAUUUGAAGCUUACGGUGUCAUGUAUGAAGGUUUAUGCCAUAUCUUAUUACAAAUCUGAUCACAAUUUGCAAGAUCGUUAUCAGUUUGUUGGGAGAUGUUUCUGACAUUUGUCAACAUUAUGAACUUAGCUUCUCUUGGUGCUCGGUAUGUACUGUAUAGAUAUUUUUUGUGGUCUUACAUCGUCUAAUUGCAAAUCUUUUUCCUCGGAAAGAAGUCGGUUGAUUCUCUUUGUCCAAAGCAACUUCAGAUUCAGAGUCCAAAAGCACUCAGAGCUGAAAAUGGUCUUUUCCCUAUAGAAACAAGAUCAAGUCUAUCGCCUAGGAGUAUGGAAGAAGAGUAGGAGCAAUUUGAAACAGAACGAAGGAGAUUACUCUGUAGCAAUCUUUUCUGGAAGAGCAGAUAUCCAGAGUGCAAAUCAUGCAGUGCAAAUGUGAAACAAUGGACACCAGUCUUCCUCAUUUGCUUCUAAUUAGAAUGAUGAGUGAAGAUGCUUCUGGGUGAAAGCCUUGUCAGAAUGAAAUUAAGCAUUUUUUGAUCCAACAGAGUUCGGUAAGUCGUUGAAUUCACUAUCAUUGAGCGUGUGUCUUGAAACUUAAAAGCCUGAAAUGGAUGGAUAGUUUUGUAACAGUUUCUUCCUCACUAGUCACAUGGCUAUUGUCUGAAUCUCUAGCCGUUCAAGUUAUUAAAGGAUUUGUCGAGAAAGAACCUCGGAUGACGUUGUCAAUUAUAUUGCCCCUACAGGUCAACUGAAACUCUGUCCAAUUGAGCUCAUUCUGACUCGAAGGGAGCUUAGUGAAUCAGAGAUGCUUGUUCAAAAGGAAGGAAAAAAAGAGAGAGCAAGCAAUGGUUUGUGUAAUUCAUUUUUUUGGGAUAUUUAAGUGUAAGAUCAAUUUUUGGUUCGGCAUAAUUUAAGAUGUAACAUGGCGCUGGAUCAAUUUAUAUGUACUAUAAUGAUGAUAUUAGCAAUGAGAUUAUUAUUUUUAACA